rnacentral:tRNA from 1 species
GCGGGUAUCGUAUAUCGGUAUUAUGUAACCUUGCCAAGGUUAAGAGAUGGGUCCGACUCCCAUUACCCGCU